ensembl:lncRNA
ACCAGAUUUUAUUUUUCUUGGACCAUAUCCUCCUGGUCCAGUCCCAGCACCACCAGGUCCAAAUCCCCCAGGACCAGUCCCGGCACCACCAGGUCCAAAUCCCCCAGGCCCUGUCCCAGCACCACCAGGUCCAAUUCCUCCAGGCCCUGUCCCGGCACCACCAGGUCCAAAUCCUCCAGGUCCUGUCCCAGUACCACCAGGUCCAAAUCCCCCAGGUCCUGUCCCGGCACCACCAGGUCCAAAUCCUCCAGGUCCUGUCCCGGCACCACCAGGGCCAUAGCCUCCAGGUCCUGUCCCAGCACCUCCAGGCCCAGUCCCAGCACCACCAGGGCCAUAGCCUCCAGGUCCUGUCCCAGCACCUCCAGGCCCAGUCCCAGCACCACCAGGUCCGUAGC